rnacentral:rRNA from 1 species
UACGAAGGGGGCUAGCGUUGCUCGGAAUCACUGGGCGUAAAGCGCACGUAGGCGGCUUUCUAAGUCAGGGGUGAAAUCCUGGAGCUCAACUCCAGAACUGCCUUUGAUACUGGAGAGCUUGAGUCCGGAAGAGGUGAGUGGAAUUCCGAGUGUAGAGGUGAAAUUCGUAGAUAUUAGGAAGAACACCAGUGGCGAAGGCGACUUACUGGACACAUAUUGACGCUGAGGUGCGAAAGCGUGGGGAGCAAACAGG